rnacentral:rRNA from 1 species
GGGUUGUGAGGUUAAGCGACUAAGCGUACACGGUGGAUGCCCUGGCAGUCAGAGGCGAUGAAGGACGUGCUAAUCUGCGAUAAGCGCCGGUAAGGUGAUAUGAACCGUUAUAACCGGCGAUUUCCGAAUGGGGAAACCCAGUGUGAUUCGUCACACUAUCAUUAACUGAAUCCAUAGGUUAAUGAGGCGAACCGGGGGAACUGAAACAUCUAAGUACCCCGAGGAAAAGAAAUCAACCGAGAUUCCCCCAGUAGCGGCGAGCGAACGGGGAGGAGCCCAGAGCCUGAAUCAGCAUGUGUGUUAGUGGAAGCGUCUGGAAAGGUGCGCGAUACAGGGUGACAGCCCCGUACACAAAAGCGCAUGUGCUGUGAGCUCGAUGAGUAGGGCGGGACACGUGGUAUCCUGUCUGAAUAUGGGGGGACCAUCCUCCAAGGCUAAAUACUCCUGACUGACCGAUAGUGAACCAGUACCGUGAGGGAAAGGCGAAAAGAACCCCGGCGAGGGGAGUGAAAAAGAACCUGAAACCGUGUACGUACAAGCAGUGGGAGCACAGGUUUACC